rnacentral:rRNA from 1 species
CCUACGGGGGGCAGCAGUAGGGAAUAUUGCUCAAUGGGGGAAACCCUGAAGCAGCAACGCCGCGUGGAGGAUGAAGGUUUUCGGAUUGUAAACUCCUUUUGGUAGAGAAGAAAAGGACGGUAGCUAACGAAUAAGAACCGGCAAACGCCGGGCCAGCAGCCGCGGUAAUACGGAGGGGGCAAGCGUUACUCGGACUCACUGGGCGUAAAGAGCGCGUAGGCGGGAUGGCAAGGAUGAUGGGAAAUCCUAUGGCUUAACCAUAGAACCGCAUUUGAAACUGUUAUUCUAGAGUAUGGGAGAGGUAGGUGGAAUUCUUUGUGUCGUGGUCACCUCCGUAGAGAUCCCG